UACAGAGGUCCCAAGCGUUGUUCGGAUUCAUUGGGCGUAAAGGGUGCGUAGGCGGCGCGGUAAGUCGGGUGUGAAAUCUCGGGGCUUAACUCCGAAACUGCAUUCGAUACUGCCGUGCUUGAGGACUGGAGAGGAGACUGGAAUUUACGGUGUAGCGGUGAAAUGCGUAGAUAUCGUAAGGAAGACCGGUGGCGAAGGCGGAUCUCUGGACAGUUCCUGACGCUGAGGCGCGAAGGCCAGGGGAGCAAACGGG
rnacentral:rRNA from 1 species